AUGGCGGUGGUCCUCGCGUGGCUCAACGCCAGGGUCGUCGACCCCCUGCUGCAGGUCAUCCAGAGGGGCGCGGAGCCGAAGCAGCUGGCCUUCUCCGCCGCGCUCGGCGUCACCAUCGGGGUCUUCCCCAUCUGCGGGACCACGGUUAUUAUCGGUGGACUUGCUGUGGCGAUGUUAGGAGCUCGUUGCAAUGCCGUUACUGUCAUGGUUCUCAAUUUAGCUGCUACUCCUCUUGAGCUAAGCUUGAUCAUUCCUUUCUUGCGUUUGGGAGAAGUAGUCACAGGCGGUGAGCACUUCCCCUUGACAUCUGAUGCAUUCAAGAUGGUCCUCACAGGCCACGCCUCAAAGGACGUGCUACUCAGCAUUUUUCAUGCGAUUCUUGGCUGGAUGGUUGCUGCACCGUUUGUGAUGGCUGGGCUGUACACCUUGUCUGUCCCUUGUUUCAAGUACCUGGUCGGCAGGUUUGGCGUCAUCCCUUCGAGCCCCAGGACGCCGAUGAAAGCGGUUUUGCUUUGCCCAAAUGAAUCCGAAUCCGAAUCCGAAAAUGGGGCAGUACCAUUGCUCGUCCACGCCGACUGA
rnacentral:rRNA from 1 species